AUUAUGUACUAACGAAAAAAAUGAGCCAAUAUAUGAUCCUUAAGGAUAUUUAAUAGUAUUCGACAUAAUAGAUAAGUGAUAAAAACUUAAUAUCAGUAUCUGUUUCGGAAGAAUCUUUGGCGUUCUUUCAACUACAACAAAUAACUUUAAACGAUAUGAAUUAUAAGCUCGAAAAUUUUGAUAACCUCGAAUCUAAUAAAGCAUCUACGAGUACUCAAUCAUUAACACAACAUAGUAUGAAUUUUCAUCUCAUCAUAUUUUUUGAUAAUCAUCUUGGAAGGAUAAUAAUGUUGCGAAACGAUUAAUUUAUGCUUUGAAAGAAUGAAAGUGAUUUUAGAAAUGGAAAAUGCAAGUCCUCAGAAAUAUAAAAAAAAUUUCCACCGUUCUUCAAACUGAAAAUAGUCAGUAGAUAUAAACUGGUACACAAUGCGAAAACAAAUUUAAAGAAUUGCGAAAAAAAUAUAUAAAAGUAAAAGAUCAUAAUAAGCAAUCAGGCAAUAGCCCAAUGACGUAAGUUUUUCGAUGAAUUUGAAGAAAUAUUGGGAGAUAAAUCUUGUAUCCAACUUGUUGUGUUGUCCUAGUUUCUAAUUUAAGAAAGCGAUCAGCAACAUCUAGUUCUCAAGAAAGUGAGAUAGAAAAUGAAUUUGGUAAAGAUGAAUAUGAUAAAACGAAAAAAA